rnacentral:lncRNA from 1 species
GGCUAUUCAAGAUCUCUGGCAGUGGAGGAAGUCUCUUUAAGAAAAUAGUUUAAACAGUUUGUUAAAAAUUUUCCGUCUUAUUUCAUUUCUGUAACAGUUGAUAUCUGGCUGUCCUUUUUAUAAUGCAGAGUGAGAACUUUCCCUACCGUGUCUGAUAAAUGUUGUCCACGUUCCAUUGCCAAGAAUGUGUUGUCCAAAAUGCCUGUUUAGUUUUUAAAGAUGGAACUCCACCCUUUGCUUGGUUUUAAGUAUGUAUGGAAUGUUAUGAUAGGAAUAGUAGUAGUGGUGGUCAGACAGAUGGGAAUGGUGGGGAGACGAAUAUAC